rnacentral:rRNA from 1 species
UACGAACUGUGCAAACGUUAUUCGGAAUCACUGGGCUUAAAGGGUGCGUAGGCGGCUAUCUAAGCAGGGUGUGAAAGCCCUCGGCUCAACCGAGGAAUUGCGCUCUGAACUGUCGUGCUUGAGGAACCUAGAGGUGAGCAGAACAGAUGGUGGAGCGGUGAAAUGCGUUGAUAUCAUCUGGAAUACCGGAGGCGAAGGCGGCUCACUGGGGGUUUUCUGACGCUGAGGAACGAAAGCCAGGGUAGCGAACGGG